rnacentral:rRNA from 1 species
UAAUUAGGCGGAGGAAAAGAAACUAACCAGGAUUCCCCCAGUAAGGGCGACUGAAGCGGGAAGAGCUCGUAGUGUGAAUCGGUUCGCCGAAUUGUGGUCUGUUUGCGUUAUUGGCCGGGCCAAGUCCCUUGGAACAGGGCAGCCGAGAGGGUGAGACUCCCGUCCGCCUGGCCGCUAGAGCGAACUAGAACGAGUCGAGUUGUUUGGGAUUGCAGCUCGAAGUGGGUGGUAAAUUCCAUCUAAGGCUAAAUAUUGGUGGGAGACCGAUAGCGUACAAGUACCGUGAGGGAAAGAUGCAAAGAACUUUGAAAAGAGAGUUAAAAAGUACCUGAAAUUGCUGAAAAGGAAGCGAAGGAAACCAGUGCCUGCUCGGUUAUACUUCCCCGUCCGCUUGCGGGUGGGGCGCUGUGGCCAGCUGGAGUCGGAUUUGCUUGUGGCUGCCGGAAGGGCGCACGGGGAGUUGACCCGUGUUGCUGGCGGCGGUCGCAAGUGAGUUGGACGAAAUGGUUUUCUUUUCCCCG